rnacentral:piRNA from 1 species
UGGGUGCGGGACUGUUGAUGGGCUGG